rnacentral:sRNA from 1 species
CUUCCAUGAUCUGUGGGCAGAUCAGGUGGACGUGGCAAUCGAUCGCCCCCGCGGUGACGAUCCGGCCGUCGCCCGCGAUGAUCUCGGUCGACGGACCGACCACCAGGUCCGGGUGCACUCCCGUCAUGAUGUCGGGAUUACCGGCCUUGCCGAUCGCGACAAUGCGGCCGUCCCGAAUUCCGAUGUCGGCCUUGAUGAUUCCCCAGUAGUCAAGGAUCACGGCGCCGGUGAUGACGGUGUCGGGAGCCCCGUCGGCCCGCGUGGCGCGGGACUGACCCAUCGACUCACGCAG